rnacentral:sRNA from 1 species
ACAUAUGUUUCUAAAAACAUGCAUCAACAUUGUAUUCAUAUGUACACGCAAGGGGGUAGGUUUUUUUAAAUAUCUAAUAAUAGUGUUAAGUAUGUUAUCGAUCCACUCGUUAAAAUAUUCUUAAAUAUGGUAAGGUUCGGUUGAUUAAUAUACAGAUUUUGUUUUUAAAUUUCAUUUUUUUUAAAAUUACAUUUAUGAAUAUUUAUAAGAAAAAAAUUUAUCAAACUAUAGAUAGGAUGAAUAAUGAAAUAUCCCCUACCUUUUACCUGGUUGGUUUAAAAUGAAUAUUGCACAGGGAAAAUCUCGAGACGGGGGUUUUUAUACAAAGAUAACCCGGGAAGAGAGAUGAAUAUCUACUCGAUUUAAAACUGAGGAUGGUUUGGCCCCUUACUCAAUGGCGAUUUAAGGUACAGGCAAUUAAAUGACAAUUUUUCGCUCAAUAAAAUAUUUGUUGAAAAC